GACACCUUAAUCCAACAUCGAGGUCGCAAACCCUUCUUUCAAUGUGAACUCUCCAGAAAGAUUACGCUGUUAUCCCUGUGGUAACUUUUUCCGAUAAUCAGCAAUGCUGGAUCAUUUGUUAGUAAACCAAAAUUCUACAAAUUAACAGAGAAGCUUUUCAUGUUCCCUAGUCACCCCAACUAAAGAUGUAAGAAUAAAUUUAAAAUCCUCUAUUCUAAUAGAAACAACCCCUUUAUUCCACACUAAAGCUCAACAGGGUCUUCUCGUCCCUCAGCUAAAUCUAAGCCUUUUCACUUAGAAGUUAAUUUUUAAAUAUUCCAGGAGAGACAGCUCAGCCCUCGUCAAACCAUUCAUACCAGCCUCCAAUUAAAAGGCAAGUGAUUGUGCUACCUUUGCACGGUCAGUGUACCGCGGCCGUUU
rnacentral:rRNA from 1 species